rnacentral:tRNA from 1 species
GGGGAUAUAGCACAGUUGGUAGAGUGUUUGCCUUGCAUGCACAAGGCCAUGGGUUCAAUUUCUUUCUUUCUUU